UGACUGAUGGAAACUGAUUUAUUUACGGAUGUAUUUUUCUUACAUAUUAGCAAUAUUUAACAUCUUUAAAUGGACACUUCACAUUCUUUAUAACAUUACACACAACACGCUAUUAUAGAAACCAAUACAUUACUAUAGAGACCCAUAUUUUGCUUAUGCCAUGAAGUUGAUGUCAAUAAAGUUAUCUGAACUUAUUACUUGGUAUGUGAGUGAUUAUGCUGGCGUACUAGAAUUGAGGCAUGCCGAAGAAGUAAUUCAAA